rnacentral:lncRNA from 10 species
GCCCCUCCCCCAGCCUCAUUACUGCCUUGCAGUUUGAUCUCAGACUGCUGUGCUAGCAAUCAGCGAGACUCCCUGGGCGUAGGACCCUCCGAGCCAGGUGUGGGAAAUAAUCUCCUGGUGCACCGUUUCCUAAGCCCGUCGGAAAAGCGCAGUAUUUGGGUGGGAGUGGCCCGAUUUUCCAGGUGCCCUCCUUUCCUUGACCAGGAAAGGGAACUCCCUGACCCCUUACGCUUCCCAAGUGAGGCAAUGCCUCGCCCUGCUUCGGCUGGCGCACGGUGCCCUGCACCCACUGUCUGGCACUCCCUAGUGAGAUGAACCCGGUACCUCAGAUGGAAAUGCAGAAAUCACCCAUCUUCUGCGUGGCUCAUGCUGGGAGCUGUAGACCAGAGCUGUUCCUAUUCAGCCAUCUUGGCUCCCGGAUCCAGUUUAACUUUUGCAGAGAGACAAGAUCUCUCUCCAUUGCCAACACUGGUCUCAAACUCCUGGCCUCAAGCAAUCAUCCAACCUCAGCCUUCUGAGUACCGGGAUUACAAGUGCGAGCCACUGUGCCCAGCUCCUGUUUCUACUUUCUUAAGGCAAACCACUUCAAUAGAACAUGGCUGGCGGCCAUAUGGACAUAUUUGAAUCCAACAAUUAAUUCAGCAAAGAAAGCUGCUUGUGGCAAGUUUUGAAUGUGCCAUUCCAGGUAGUGCUUUGAUGAUAAAUGAGGAGAAGAUUGCAAAGAAAAUGACAGCAACAUUUAUAAAAGGAUUCCUCUUAGGACUCUAGAUGCACGGAGAGUGGCCAGAUUAAUACAGACUGGCAAAAGAAGAACUUGGCAAAGUGAUUUGAUCACACACUUCUCACCCUCACAUCUCCUGACAGUUCCCCUAAUCCCUGCCCCACUUCCCCGCCAUGGGCUUCCAUCAGGAAACUCCUUGAUAUCAUCUUCGAGAAGAAAACUGAGGCAUAGAACAUUUGGGAAUGAAUCUAAGACUACACAUCUAGAAUAGCAGAGUUACAGGAAUGCAGAUGUGAUUCCUAUGGAUGAGGGUAACCUAGAGGCUAGAAGAACAAUAGGACAGAAGAAGCCUGGGUCCCUGAACAACCUUGUGGAGCAUAGACACCUACGUGGCCUGGACUGCCAGCUCACAAUGGGCCUCUCUGUGAGAGAAGGAAACUUCCCUCUUGUUUAAGCAACUGUGCUUUUGAGAAUCUCUUGGUCUAUACCCUAAUGAAUAAGGCCAUCAUAAAUGGAUAUCAAAGUAAGGAAAUUUGUGUAAAUGAUUUAAUAAAACAUUACCUCAGGUAUGAAAUAAUUCUACCUUGUGCCUUGACAACAUCAGGUAUUAUUCAUGCCCUUUUCUCUCCCUGUAAUGUCUCUUAUCCACGGGUAGAAAUUAUAUUUUCCAUCUAAGGUUUGCUCAAAUAUUAUCUACUUAAGUAGCUCUUACCAAUUUUGCCUCUCCUCCUGAGCUGACCCUAUGCCUUCUAUGCUGUUCCAGGUAAUAUUAAUCUCUUCCUUUGUACUUCUUUCACAGAACAUACUUUUUUGUCUAACAUAAUAACUAUAGGCAUAAGUGUAUAGAUUCCACUAGGGGCUUCAGAACAGAAACUAUCAUCUUAUUAAUUUUUUUCUCCCUGAUAUCUAGGGAAAUAUGUUAUAUAUAAUAGGCCCUUAGUAAUCCCAUAAAUGUUUGUGAGAUAUUCACUGACUAUAAGCCAUACUCUGUAUUUAUUUAGCUAAAACAGACGUCUUUCAUAUUUAGUUAGCAGAAAAUGCUCACAUUUACUCCUUUCCUGUUUACCAAAUGAAAGGGUAAUUGUUUUUUCACAGAUUGCACUAGAAAAGUGUCUUCUCUCUCUUUUUCAAAUAGAUUGUCUUUAAAACAUAUGACAGGAAAAGUGACUAUUGUUAGGAUAAGAUAAUUACGAUUGUAACAGCUAGUUUAAAAGAAGUGUCAGUUGCUCCUGUUUUAUUUUUCACAGGAUAGAGCUGCGGCCUGUCUCAGUAUGAUGUUUUCAGGAUCUGGUAUAUAUUUUUAUUUUCCUACAUGAAUCUUUCAUCCUUUUACUGACAUUUAUUCAUUUUAUCUAAUUAUCCUAAAAGGAAAGCUCUGGCCAGGCAAAUUGGUUGUUGUCUGCCUCUGAAGAGACAUUCAUAUCGCGUCGCUUAGCUUUCAAGUUUUGUGAUCAGGAACCCUCAGGCCCAUUUUUAAGGAGGUUUCAGGCUAGCUGAGCUUCACUGUCUCCCAAAAUGUACAAAAUGAGAUUACAUGAGGGACAAGAUCAAUUUACUGGAAGGUACUUAAGCAGUAAAUCUGGAGCUUUUUGUCCAGUCACUAUUGCUUUCAAGCUUUGUAGCAGAAAAUUAAGCCACAAGAGCUUUGACAAAUUAGAUAUUACUACCUCUAAUUGUGUAUGUUUAAGCUUAUCACACUGAAUUGCAGCAUUGUAACUGACUAUUAUGCCAACAAGGCCUUCGUUUAAUCAGCGCAGUGCCAUUUAAUCGCAAUUAAUCACUCAACUAAAAUGUCAUAUUAAGGUCACAGAAACUUGAAGGGCUAAAAGAAAAGAGAACAUUAAAGUCAGCUGAUGGAGGAAAAGAGCAUGGUGUGCCAAGGGAAGUUCUGAGCACUCUUUUUCAUUAGAAGCUGGUAGAACAUUUAAUGAGAAUUCAGUCUUAACUUUCAGCUGAGAUCAGAACAACGUGCC